UGGGGAAUAUUGCACAAUGGAGGGAACUCUGAUGCAGCGACGCCGCGUGAGUGAUGAAGGAUUUCGUUUCGUAAAACUCUGUUCUAUGGGAAGAAAAGGACUGUACCAUAGGAGAAAGCUCCGGCUAAAUACGUGCCAGCAGCCGCGGUAAUACGUAUGGAGCGAGCGUUGUCCGGAAUUAUUGGGCGUAAAGGGUGCGCAGGCGGCUUUACAAGUUGGAUGUGAAAUAUUGUGGCUCAACCACAAACGUGCAUCCAAAACUGCAAAGCUUGAGUUAAGGAGAGGUAAGUGGAAUUCCUGGUGUAGCGGUGGGAUGCGUAGAUAUCAGGAGGAAUACCGGUGGCGAAGGCGACUUACUGGACUUAAACUGACGCUCAGGCACGAAAGCGUGGGGAGCAAACAGG
rnacentral:rRNA from 1 species